AUUGAACGCUGGCGGCAUGCUUUACACAUGCAAGUCGAACGGCAGCGCGGGCUUCGGCCUGGCGGCGAGUGGCGAACGGGUGAGUAAUGCAUCGGAACGUGCCCAGUAGUGGGGGAUAGCCCGGCGAAAGCCGGAUUAAUACCGCAUACGACCUGAGGGUGAAAGCGGGGGACCGAAAGGCCUCGCGCUAUUGGAGCGGCCGAUGUCGGAUUAGCUAGUUGGUGGGGUAAAGGCUUACCAAGGCGACGAUCCGUAGCUGGUCUGAGAGGACGACCAGCCACACUGGGACUGAGACACGGCCCAGACUCCUAAGGGAGGCAGCAGUGGGGAAUUUUGGACAAUGGGGGCAACCCUGAUCCAGCCAUGCCGCGUGCGGGAAGAAGGCCUUCGGGUUGUAAACCGCUUUUGUUCGGGAAGAAAUCCUCUGGGCUAAUACCCCGGGGGGAUGACGGUACCGGAAGAAUAAGCACCGGCUAACUACGUG
rnacentral:rRNA from 1 species